UGGCCCUGUGGGAUUGACUCCCAAGACUGCUGUUGCGACCCCAGAGGUUAAUCCCCACAGCAAUCCUGUUUCUUCAGGUUCCUGGAGCCCAAAGAAUUGGGAUGGCACCCCCACCCUCCCUUCGCAGUUCCUAUUUCCCGCAGAAACCUAUGAGGAGCCUGGCUUCAUGCUCAAGCCCCUCCGUGGAAAGCUACUGAUGCAUCAAAAUGAUGUGUUGGAAGGAAAGAAGAUUCAAGAGUGGGACUCUCUGCUUUGGAGGCUUUUAAACAGAGGAUGGAUGACCAUCUAUUGGGGCUAUUUCGAUUAAUAAGGAUUUAUAUGAAUGGCAUCUAAAAAGAACAGUGGGGGUCCCAAGGGCAAGGGCCUGGCUAAGAAAGUGCCGGCAAAGUGCCUAUUCCCCCCCCCCUCCAAUAUUUCUGCCUCAGUUGAAGAUGACAUUACAGUGGAGACCAUCAAUGUUGGCUCAAGAAGUGUUGCAGAAACUGAACACUCUUGCCUCAACCUGCUGAAUGCCAGGGACCAUGGAGCCUACUUGCAGUGGAACCCCAGUCUCAGACACAACAUCCUAGGAAUCCCACACAGACAACAGAGAGUUAGAAAAAAAAAGAAGAAAGAGGAUUCGGACAAAGAAGCACCAAGAAAAAAAUUAAAAAGAGAAAGGUAGAUCAGAACUAGGCCAAAUGAUUUACCUGCUUUAUGAUAUAUGCGGAUGUGCUUGUAAAGACCUACCUGACAAGGGCUUACUUCUUUUCCAAUAUCUCAAUAUUAUAUACUCGGCAUAUGUUAAUUUUGCGGGCAACGCUUUGAUGCUUUAUUAUAAGUGCUUUAGGUUUUAUGCAGCCCAGUAUCCCACGUUACGUUGGGUUCUUAUAGAUAAUCAACUUUGGAUGGAGGUUAUGACCCCAGCCCAGUCGGUUUGGGAUGAAAAGGCUGACAGUGGGUUAUACCAUGCAGAACUUUCAUACAACAGCCCCCCAACAACAGGAACAACAACAACAACCUGUCUUGUGUUGAGAGUAUUCAUCCCAAGGAGGGUGCUCCACACAGCUUGCAAAUUUCAGCAUUUAUGUAAUGGAGGACACUCUGCCAGUAUUUGCACCAAGAGAAGGCCAUUCAAGGCCAACCAGAGAGAUAAUCAAUAUUCCAAAGGAACCAUGGGCCCUUCUUCCCUCCCCAAAGAGCCCCAGCCCAAUUAAUUUGAAACAAUAGCAAAUUUGGACAAUAACCUAGCCUAAUCCAGCAGCAGCCGACUACUACUUUGACUUUAGCCAAAGCCUUUCAUUUAUCGUUCACCUUGUUUCGUUGUUAUUGUAGUGUAUGUUUUUCAGAUGCAGAUCCAUUGGUGCUUAGAAGGCUGGGCCCAACAUGUGGGCACAACUACGUCCACUGGGGCUGAGUGACAGACCUGUGGAAUCCCCAUGGCCUACACUUGGCCACUGUUCAAUGGGAAGGCAGGAAGGGCCUCCAUUGAGACAGUUUGUAUCUACUGCUGUUUGAAUUGUGGAAUGGUUUCCUUCCUGAUGUUGUUGGUUAUCCACGUCGAUAAAAUAUCUUGGCCUGUCAAAGGCAUGCAUUGUC